GCAAAUGUGGGGUAGUGGUAACCUGGGUCGUUGCCACAUCGACCGUCGACCCGCCCCGAGUUCGAUUCUCGGCGUUUGCA